CAUGGAAACCAACUUCAUCAAUACGUGACUCACUCCAAGACACAGGAGAGUUAUAAGUUUUAAGAAGUGCUAAAAUUUGUCUUGUUUUAUUUGGUUUUCGUUGUGAAGGUAAAAUUGGUUGGCUGUUGAGGUAAAAUUGGAUGAUUGUCAAGGUUUAAUUGUAGUGAUUUAUUAUAGAGUUGUUUUAUCGUCAACAUUAAUCUGAUUUGUAUCGUUAAAGUUUAUAUAUAAUUUGCUGAGGUUUAAAAAGUUAUGUUUAUUAGACAUUAUAUUAUUUAAAGCGAUUGAAUCUGAUCUAUUUAUAAAAAGAAGAUUCUGACUCAAAUAUGGGAACUAUGUAUUCAAAGUAUAUCUAUAUUUACUAACCCAUUGGUGAUGAUGAUAGGGAUGAUGAUGAUGAUGGAAAUAAUGAUGGAGGGGAUGAUGAUGAUGACGCUGAUGGUUCCGACGCGAGGACAACAACAAGAACAAUACUUUUUUGGUCGUCCACGUCCACGGAAAUUUUCUCGGCCGUGUUUAAAACAAUAAUCAAAAAGACACAACUUGUACUAAGCAUUCUGGGUGUUCGUCUGUCUGUCCAAACCCGAAUUGUAAAUAGUCUAUAUGAUGUACUCACUUAUCUUUUCCCUCACUAUUUUUUUAACAGCACUAAAAGGAGAGGAGGAGGCAUUGGGAGUUCUUUUAUUUCUCACUAAGACGCUGCCAAUGCCUCUCCUCUACCCGGUCAUUGGUUUUGUACAAUACACUGUUUGUCGAGUGUGCCCAGAACUGUUUUGUCCGUACGAGGAAGAGUCUGUCCGUCUGUGUGCUGUGUUGUCCUGUGUUAGGGGCUGCGGGGAGAGAGAGAGGGGGAGAGAGAGAGAUUAUCUAUUUUGUGCACUUUUCUCAAUUUCUGUCUAUCGCUCUUUCCACCUAAUUCUCGGACUUACUUUCCGCGUCUCUUGUUCAUCUUUGCCUCCCUUCUGUUUCUCUCCUGUUCACUUUCACCUCCUUUCUCUCUCUUUCCUUUCCUUUCCUUGUUCUCCUUUCUAUCGUUCUUUCUCUCCUUUUCCUUGAACAUGUUUUGCUUUCUUCUUUUUCUCCUUUAUUCUUUCUAUUUUCCUUCCUUCCUCUUCUCCCUCUCUUCCCUCUUUGUGCUUGUCUUUAUUUUUUCCUCUUUUCCUUUUCUCACUUUCUGUAUAUUUUCUGGUUUUGUUUAUGUUUCGUUCUCUUUCCCUUUUCCUUUAUAUAUUUGUCUUUUAACCCCAUUCUCUUCUCUGUGUCGUCUCCUCCCCUCCCUCUCUUCUCCGUCCUCCUCCUCUCCCUCGCUCCCUCCCCGCCCAGCCCCUGGUCCUGUUGUUUUCAUGCACAUCCCUUGCCUUCUUUUGUCUCAGGGUUGACGAAGGUUUUUCUAACAAGGUUUUUGCUCAAUGUGUCCAUCAUAACGUAAGUGUACAGUGAUGAGAUGCUUGUACGUGUAUCUAUUAUUAUUAUUAUUAUUAUUAUUAUUAUUAUUAUUAUUAUUAUUAGUCAUCCCUCAAAUAGUACGGUUUCCAAUAGUUCGGUUUUGGUUUUAUGUGGAUUUUCUAAGGAGAUUUUUUAGGAUUUUAAAAUUUCCCGACAAGCAGGAAAUUUAAAAAUCCUUAAAAGAUCUUAUAUGACAAUCCGUAUAAAACUGAAACUGAACCAUUGAAAACCAUACCAUUUGAGGGAUGACUAUUAUUAUUAUUAUUUUAUUUUUAUCUUAUUAUUGCCAUAGUGGGAUGGUGAGAUAUAGAGGUUUAGCCUCAUAUGAUAAACCAGUGUGCUUACCGUUGUGUUUUUUUAUAUUAAGAGAGAAAGCUUAUCGAUUUUUAACUUUUUAUGAGUAUAUUAUAUCAUAGAGUACGUAUAGGGGUUUUAUUGCUCCGAGAAAUCAUUAUUGUUGCUUAAUGUAUUUUAGAUGGAAGGUAAUUAAUGCAUAUCAAUUACCAUGUGAUGCUUUGUUAAACAGCUUUAUGUGUUAUGCAUAUGUAUAUUUAUGUAUAUGGAGAUCUUUCUUGUUGCUGAUUUCAUAGUUUGAAUUGUUACUUUUAAACCAUUCUUUUUGCAAUAUGAAUAACUACAUAAUAGUAAAACUUAGACAUGAUAAAGACACUGAUGAAAGGCAAUAUUAGUGUAAUAAUUAGGGGAGUUAGACUCAUGGAAUAAACAACUGAGUGGGGGUUAUUUUUGCAUCGCUCACGGAGGCAAGACUCGCAAGACAGGAGGACCGUCACUUAUAGGGGAGGUUCGUGAAUCUAUACCCCAACACUCCUUAUCGUGCUCGCAUAAUAAAUAAACUUAGAAAAAUUAAAAUAUAUAAAAAUGCCAAUGUAAUAUUUAAUUUUUAUAUCUUAUCUAAACUUUCCGGAAAAAGUAUCAGAAAUUUAAGAUGAGAUAUAAAAAUGAAAUAUAGAAAUGCCAAUGUAAUAUUUAAUUUUUAUAUCUUAUCUAAACUUCCCAGAAAAAGUAUCAGAAACUUAAGAUGAGAUAUAAAAAUGAAAUAUAGAAAUGCCAAUGUAAUUUUCAUUUUUAUAUCUUAUCUAAACUUCCCAGAAAAAGUAUCAGAAACUUAAGAUGAGAUAUAAAAAUGAAAUAUAGAAAUGCCAAUGUAAUAUUUAAUUUUUAUAUCUUAUCUAAACUUCCUGGAAAAAGUAUCAGAAAUUUAAGAUGAGAUAUAAAAAUGAAAUAUAGAAAUGCCAAUGUAAUAUUUAAUUUUUAUAUCUUAUCUAAACUUCCCGGAAAAAGUAUCAGAAAUUUAAGAUGAGAUAUAAAAAUGAAAUAUAGAAAUGCCAAUGUAAUUUUCAUUUUUAUAUUUUAUCUAAACUUCCCGGAAAAAGUAUCAGAAAUUUAAGAUGAGAUGAGAUAUAUAAAAAUGCAAAUGUAAUAUCUCCAUUUCUAUAUCUUACCUCAACUUCCUGGAAAAAGUAUCAGAAAUUUAAGAUGAGAUAUACAAAUGCCAACAUAUCUUAAAUUUUACACGUCAUCUCAACCCCCUAUACAUUUAUUUUUCUGGAUGCGAGUACUAAUUGGGAUGUUGCGUACGGAUUGGCGGCCUUUCCCUCGUUGUUUAUUUCAUGACACGUUAGCCGAUAGUCACUUUGUAUCUGCCGCCGCCCGCCCGUCUGUGGCCCAGAGAUUCACGGACGAAAUGAAAACAAUAAUCGCCAGGUGAGCAUCGUCCCUUCCGUGCUGCCGCCACCUGCACCAAUCACCGUUCGUUACACCUGUGCCGUUGUGAAGCAAGGCGUCUUUGUCUAGUUGUCUUAAUGUGUUGCUUCUUGGUAAACGGCCAGCUUGGAUCUUGGCCGCACACGAUGUUGUUACGCAGCAAUUCUCAGGGAAGGUUUAGUACAGUAGACCCUUUGUUUAAUGUGAGAUAGUUUUUUUUACAUCAAAGGAGCAUCUCAAGGGUAAAACCUAAGGAUAGAAAAAGUCUGCUGUGAUGCAAAAAGAAAAGCAGGCACUGAAACAUUCACCUUAUAUGUAAUUCAUGCUAAAUGGACGUGUUAUUUCAGUGGGAUUUAUCAAUUUGGGAUUAACCAUUCAUGCCCCAUUUAAUAUCGAUGAUGAUAAUAAUAAUAAUAAUAAUAAUAAUAAUAAUAAUAAUAAUAAUAAUAAUAACAAUAAGAAUAACAAGAAGAGGCAAUUAUUAGUGUGCAUUCAUAUCAUUAGUCAGACCUUGUAAUAAUUUUCUGUUGCUAUUUUUUUGUAUCCUCCAAAAUAAAGCAACACAGUCAUCCCUCAAAUAGUACGGUUUUCAAUAGUCCGGUUUCGGUUAUAUACGGAUUGCCAUGGAAGAUCUUUUUAGGAUUUUCAAAUUUCCUGCUUGUUGGGAAAUUCAAAAAUCCUAAAAAAAUUAUGAAAUUCCACAUAAAACCGAAACCGAACUAUUGGAAACCGUACUAUUUGAGGGAUGACUGUAUAGUUUUUCUGAAGGUCACUGUGCAAUAAUGUCGUGUGCCCAAGAUAUAAAAUGGUCGGACUGUAAGAUCUGUCAACAAAUGCUUUCCACAAUACAGCAUUUCUCACACCAGUAUAUGUUUUCGGUUUCAAUAAUCUAAUGUGUUUAUUUGGUCUGUAUUCUCAAAUCCUUUCAGCUCCCACAACAUCUAUUUCCAAAGGCCGCAAAAGAGGUUAGUCAGGUUCUAAUGAUUGUUUUUCAUAUUCACGGUGCAGAAGCCUUGUCAAACUACCACUAGGCUCAUAAAACUACCCAUGGAGAUACCCACGACAACCUCUACGAAAGCCUUACUAAAUAUGGGCGUAUGAGCCUGGACGUGUUAGAGAAUGUUGGCCUUAGUUUCCUGUCUGCAAAGCAUUAUUUACGUCACUGCUGUUUUGUGUUUUCUUUAUAAUCUGUAUUUUAUUUUCUUUCAUCAUGUGGGUAGCGCCGAUGUUCCUGCCUCCCCCCCCCCACCCACCCCCCACCCCUCCAGUGACUGAGUGCUGGUGGCUUGCUCGGCACUCGCUCACACCCCAAUGUAUAGAUGUAAAGAAACGAACGUGUCAGGAAAAUAUACAAACCAGAAAACGAAGCCAGCACGGAUUUUCAUGUUGCUUGUUUUUUUCGUCAUAUUUUAAGCUUCAGCGGAAAAAAAAAGUCGAGAGAGGGGUGGAGGUACAUCUAUAUGUCUUAACUUUUUAUUAUUUUUCUCCGUGUGUGUGUGUGUGUGUGUGCGUGUGUGUGUACCCCUUGCUGUUCUUAAAGCGUAGAAAACAAAAAAGAGCCGCGUUUAUUUUGGUGUGUCGUUGCACUUUUACGAAAUUAUUUUUUAAGCUUACGUCAAAGUUUCUGUGAGUGCGUCUGAAUGUCUAACUCAUUUAUUUUCAACGUGCGUACUUGCUGUCGUUCUUAUUAAACUAUAGAUAAGAUAAACGCCAGAUUCUUUAAACGUUGUAUUCGUAUUCUUCAACAGUUACGUGGCUAGUUUCUCUUAUUAAUUCCAUUUUUGGGACGUAGUUAGGAGUGUUGGAUUUUCAAUAAGUCGCCAUAUCAUCACCUUUGUAAAGAAACCGCCAUUAUUUUCUACUUUUCAGGAAAUUAGAAAAGAACUGUCAUCAUCUCAUUUGGCUUAAGAUUUAGGUAGAAAUGAAAAGGCCAAUUCCAGAACACUCAAACCCUGAAUGACGAAGGGAAGUCUACAAAAAUGGGCGUCACGUGUUGAAAAAUUGAUGUAGACAAAAACCUGUAAAUCGUUGAAAAAUGACUUAAGGAAUUAUUUAAUGAGAGUGACAAUAUUACAAACUCAUAAAAAGUGAUGUAAAAGAAUCAACAAAAACAGCUAACUAUGCCUUGAAAAAUGGGUUAAUAAAGACAAAUCAGCCACAUUACUGUUGAUGGAGGCAAAGGUUCAAAAGACUUGCAGAAGUUGUCGGGAAUUCCUUGGGUGGUUUCCUGAGCCUGGCGGUAGUUUUGCAAGGCUUCUGUGGCCAUGAAUUAGAUAAACACUCAUGGAAACCUAACAUAGCUUCUCUCUAGUCUUGAACUCCAUCUUCAUUUCCCUCUCUUCUUUCCGUACUUAUCUGUCCUUUUCUUCUUUUCUUCUCUGUGUAUUGUUUUUCAUGUUCAUUUUCAAUCCUCAGGGCUUCCUUCUUCUCUCUUGCCCUGAACUCCUUCCUCCUCUCCCUCUCCUCUUUCUGUACUUAUCCGUCCUUUUCUUCUUUCCUCCUCUGGGUAUCGUUUUUCAUGUUCAUUUUCAAUCCUCAGGGCUUCCUUCUUCUCUCUACCCUUGAACUCCUUCCUCCUCUCCCUCUCCUCUUUCUGUACUUAUCCGUCCUUUUCUUCUUUCCUCCUCUGGGUAUUGUUUUUCAUGUUCUUUUUCAAUCCUCAGUGCUGCAUUCUUUUCUCUACCCUUGAACUCCUUCCUCCUCUCCCUCUCCUCUUUCUGUACUUAUCCGUCCUUUUCUUCUUUCCUCCUCUGGGUAUCGUUUCUUAUGUUCAUUUUCAAUCCUCAGUGCUUCCUUCUUCUCUCUAGCCUGAACAGUUGAUAAUACAAGUGUAAUACGACGUUUAAAUAAUUCAGGCGAGGUGUGCGUGUUUUGUUUUUCGCCGUCAUAACUGUACUCGGAGUAACAUGGCAUUUAGAUUACUGUAUAGCAUUGCUCAAGGACUGUAUCAUAUGAGACUACGACAGAAAAGGGAGCACUGUAACCUAACGUGUACUAGCAAUAGCCACAGGGAGGAUGUGCGGGCCUAUUUGUACGCAUCUUCCCAUUUAGUACUUGCUGUUGGAUAGGAAACUACUGGAAAAUAUGGCUGAGGUAAAAUAAAAUAGCAACUGUUAAUCCAAAGUCAGUUAUUGAAUGCAGGAAAUAGCAAGAGAAAGAAUUUGUGAGAGGUGGAAAUAGUGAUAGACAGAAUUCUUAGCCGCAGGAAAUACCAGUGGUCAUAAUUCUUAAAGCCAGGUCAUUGUAUUCUAAUAAUGAAUGCAGUAAUAUGUGUUUGAGAGAGCCCAUUUUUAUUUGUGAGGUAAUUCAGAGUUAAUGUAUUCUAAUAAUGAACGCAGUAAUAUGUGUUUGAGAGAGCCCAUUUUUAUUUGUGAGGUAAUUCAGAGUUAAUGUAUUCUAAUAAUGAACGCAGUAAUAUGUGUUUGAGAGAGCCCAUUUUUAUUUGUGAGGUAAUUCAGAGUUAAUGUAUUCUAAUAAUGAACGCAGUAAUAUGUGUUUGAGAGAGCCCAUUUUUAUUUGUGAGGUAAUUCAGAGUUAAUUUUUAUACACAAGUUUAAGUAUGAGCUCAUUAUGAUAAUUAAAAUUUGAUAUGUUCUAAUAAUCAAUGCAGUAUAUGUGUUUGAGAGCUCAUUUUUGUUUGUGAGGUAAUUCAGAGUUAAUUUUUUUACGCAAGUUUAAGUAUGAGCUCAUUAUGAUAAUUAAAAUCUGAUGUUCUAAUAAUCAACGCAGUAAUAUAUAUGUGUUUGAGAGCUCAUUUUUGCUUUUGAGGUAAUUCAGAGUUAAUUUUUUUUACACAAGUUUAAGUAUGAGUUCAGUAUGAUACUUAAAACUUGAUAUAGAGUUGAAUUUUAUGCUUAAUCUUAAGUUUGACAGUUCAGUUUUAUACUUAAGCUUAAUUUUGAGCUCAUAUACUUACGUUUAGUUUUAUUUAAUUCUUAUACAUUUUAAAUUUUUGGAUUACUUUUUUUACGAGUAUUUAUGGAAAGCUGCGUACAGACUGCCCCUCCCACCCUUCAACAUUUAUGCAGAAUAUGUAUACGUACAAGAUUUUGCUGAUGUUUUGAGAGAAAUACGAUAAAGAAGUUUACGGGAAGAGGAUUUAUCGUGACGUGAAGGAAUUUAUGCACAUGAAUAUAUUGUGUGUGCACCAAAGUCAGAACGAACCGAGUCUGACCUUUUCUUACAUAUUUUUUUUCAAUCGGUGAUGCUGAUGUCGUGUGGUUCAGGUUCACUUCAAUAAACAGAGACGAACCACAAACCCGAGAUCUGAAUAGUGAGAACAUUCUUGUUUUUUAAUAUUCGUGACAAUCCGUCUCUCCUUCCGUCCGAAUGCUUGUUUUAUCUCUUAAUAACGUGGGUAAAAAAAAAUCUUUAAAAAAUGCUAACCUAUAUAGACCAAAAUCUCUCGCCCUCCUUUUCUUCUAGCAACGCGCCCGCCUGUUAUAAUGAUGAAAUCCCUUUAGGCGAAACCACUGCCACUUCGUAUCAAACAGGAGCAGAUUUUUUGGCCAAGGGUGAUGAUGUGACCCCCCCGCUGACGGUGACCCCCUUGGCACCCGCCCUCAAAACUCACACAAGGGUAUUCUCACUACUUUCUUUAGCAGUAUCUUCAUUAGUAUAACUUCCUGUCUUCUCGUUUUCAUUAUACUGUUACUAAGUUGGUUUCAUUGUUGAAUAAAUGGUUUGAUGGU